UCGUUUACCCAGAAAUUCAUCAUUCCUCCAUCUUGUCAUAAGUGGUUAGGUUAUUCAGUCUUACUCAAUCAACAACACUUAUUUUUGUUUAUUUUUGUUUAUAUCAGAUUGAUUAAAAUUGUCUGAUUUGGGGAUUAUGCUGUUGUCUUUUUUUCACAGGAUGCUGAAGGAAAUGAAAUAUCACGUGCAGGAGCACAUAUCAGGUUGGGAAGACAUGUUUCCACUUGGGGGAGGACACUUGCAUUUGAAGCUGCAAGUUGUAUUUAGUGAUGAAGAGUGUGACAGAAUUCCUAUGAUGUACUACUUAUAUUUCUGAAAUCUCAACAUUCCUAAACUUAGAAAAUUAAUGGUCUUGGGACUUCUUGGUAAGAUGAGAAAGUUGUUGGCCUGGUUUGGAAAAUGGUAGAGGGAAAAUAAAGCAAGACAGUGCCCCCUUCCCCUCAAGUCCUCACACUUACCUUCCAAAGUUUAUGUAACUCAAACAAUUUGACGGUGCUCCAUUUUAUCGUAGUCAUUCAGCUGUUUGAUGGUCUUGAAGCGUAUUUGAUGUGUCGAACUGUUAUCACUCAUAUUGUGUUCCAACUAAAGAAAGCGGACAUUGCUUAUAUAAGACACCUUUCUGCCAGGCUUCCUGAGGUUAGACAUCUAUUAUUAUCUAUAUCUUUCAUUGAACUUAAUGAUUUUAUUUCUAGUUAACUACAAGAAUCAAGUUGCAGCAUGCAGACAUCUAUUAUCUACAAGAAUCAAGUUUCAGGUGAAGAAGCUCUGCACCAAAGGGAAGAUUAAAUCAAAUAGUAGAUAAAGAUCUAAUGGGAGAGUGACUUAUUUAAAUGAGAAGAAA